rnacentral:piRNA from 1 species
UAAUCCUUGAACGCGAACGUCAGGGCCAGC